CACUAUCGUUAACUGAAUACAUAGGUUAACGAGGCGAACCGGGGGAACUGAAACAUCUAAGUACCCCGAGGAAAAGAAAUCAACCGAGAUUCCCCCAGUAGCGGCGAGCGAACGGGGAGCAGCCCAGAGUCUGAAUCAGCUUGUGUGUUAGUGGAACGGUCUGGAAAGUCCGACGGUACAGGGUGAUAGUCCCGUACACCAAAAUGCACAGGYUGUGAACUCGAAGAGUAGGGCGGGACACGUGGUAUCCUGUCUGAAUAUGGGGGGACCAUCCUCCAAGGCUAAAUACUCCUGACUGACCGAUAGUGAACCAGUACCGUGAGGGAAAGGCGAAAAGAACCCCGGCGAGGGGAGUGAAAAAGAACCUGAAACCGUGUACGUACAAGCAGUGGGAGCACCUUCGGGUGUGACUGCGUACCUUUUGUAUAAUGGGUCAGCGACUUAUAUUCUGUAGCAAGGUUAACCGUAUAGGGGAGCCGCAGGGAAACCGAGUCUUAACUGGGCGUUAAGUUGCAGGGUAUAGACCCGAAACCCGGUGAUCUAGCCAUGGGCAGGUUGAAGGUUGGGUAACACUAACUGGAGGACCGAACCGACUAAUGUUGAAAAAUUAGCGGAUGACUUGUGGCUGGGGGUGAAAGGCCAAUCAAACCGGGAGAUAGCUGGUUCUCCCCGAAAGCUAUUUAGGUAGCGCCUCGUGAAYUCAUCUUCGGGGGUAGAGCACUGUUUCGGCUAGGGGGUCAUCCCGACUUACCAACCCGAUGCAAACUACGAAUACCGAAGAAUGUUAUCACGGGAGACACACGGCGGGUGCUAACGUCCGUCGUGAAGAGGGAAACAACCCAGACCGCCAGCUAAGGUCCCAAAGUCAUGGUUAAGUGGGAAACGAUGUGGGAAGGCACAGACAGCCAGGAUGUUGGCUUAGAAGCAGCCAUCAUUUAAAGAAAGCGUAAUAGCUCACUGGUCGAGUCGGCCUGCGCGGAAGAUGUAACGGGGCUAAACCAUGCACCGAAGCUGCGGCAGCGACACUAUGUGUUGUUGGGUAGGGGAGCGUUCUGUAAGCCUGCGAAGGUGACCUGUGAGGGUUGCUGGAGGUAUCAGAAGUGCGAAUGCUGACAUAAGUAACGAUAAAGCGGGUGAAAAGCCCGCUCGCCGGAAGACCAAGGGUUCCUGUCCAACGUUAAUCGGGGCAGGGUGAGUCGACCCCUAAGGCGAGGCCGAAAGGCGUAGUCGAUGGGAAACAGGUUAAUAUUCCUGUACUUGGUGUUACUGCGAAGGGGGGACGGAGAAGGCUAUGUUAGCCGGGCGACGGUUGUCCCGGUUUAAGCAUGUAGGCUGGUUGUCCAGGCAAAUCCGGAUAAUCAAGGCUGAGGUGUGAUGACGAGGYACUACGGUGCUGAAGUAACAAAUGCCCUGCUUCCAGGAAAAGCCUCUAAGCAUCAGGUAACAUYAAAUCGUACCCCAAACCGACACAGGUGGUCAGGUAGAGAAUACCAAGGCGCUUGAGAGAACUCGGGUGAAGGAACUAGGCAAAAUGGUGCCGUAACUUCGGGAGAAGGCACGCUGGUGUGUAGGUGAAGUCCCUGCGGAUGGAGCUGAGACCAGUCGAAGAUACCAGCUGGCUGCAACUGUUUAUUAAAAACACAGCACUGUGCAAACACGAAAGUGGACGUAUACGGUGUGACGCCUGCCCGGUGCCGGAAGGUUAAUUGAUGGGGUUAUCCGUAAGGAGAAGCUCUUGAUCGAAGCCCCGGUAAACGGCGGCCGUAACUAUAACGGUCCUAAGGUAGCGAAAUUCCUUGUCGGGUAAGUUCCGACCUGCACGAAUGGCGUAAUGAUGGCCAGGCUGUCUCCACCCGAGACUCAGUGAAAUUGAACUCGCUGUGAAGAUGCAGUGUACCCGCGGCAAGACGGAAAGACCCCGUGAACCUUUACUAUAGCUUGACACUGAACAUUGAGCCUUGAUGUGUAGGAUAGGUGGGAGGCUUUGAAGCGUGGACGCCAGUCUGCGUGGAGCCAACCUUGAAAUACCACCCUUUAAUGUUUGAUGUUCUAACGUUGGCCCCUGACCGGGGUUGCGGACAGUGUCUGGUGGGUAGUUUGACUGGGGCGGUCUCCUCCCAAAGCGUAACGGAGGAGCACGAAGGUUAGCUAAUCCUGGUCGGACAUCAGGAGGUUAGUGCAAUGGCAUAAGCUAGCUUGACUGCGAGCGUGACGGCGCGAGCAGGUGCGAAAGCAGGUCAUAGUGAUCCGGUGGUUCUGAAUGGAAGGGCCAUCGCUCAACGGAUAAAAGGUACUCCGGGGAUAACAGGCUGAUACCGCCCAAGAGUUCAUAUCGACGGCGGUGUUUGGCACCUCGAUGUCGGCUCAUCACAUCCUGGGGCUGAAGUAGGUCCCAAGGGUAUGGCUGUUCGCCAUUUAAAGUGGUACGCGAGCUGGGUUUAGAACGUCGUGAGACAGUUCGGUCCCUAUCUGCCGUGGGCGCUGGAGAAUUGAGGGGGGCUGCUCCUAGUACGAGAGGACCGGAGUGGACGCAUCACUGGUGUUCGGGUUGUCAUGCCAAUGGCACUGCCCGGUAGCUAAAUGCGGAAGAGAUAAGUGCUGAAAGCAUCUAAGCACGAAACUUGCCCCGAGAUGAGUUCUCCCUGAGACUUUAAGUCUCCUGAAGGAACGUU
rnacentral:rRNA from 1 species